rnacentral:rRNA from 1 species
CCUACGGGUGGCAGCAGUGAGGAAUAUUGGUCAAUGGACGAGAGUCUGAACCAGCCAAGUCGCGUGAAGGAUGAAUGCCCUAUGGGUUGUAAACUUCUUUUAUAUGGGAAUAAAAUGUUCCACGUGUGGGAUUUUGUAUGUACCAUAUGAAUAAGGAUCGGCUAACUCCGUGCCAGCAGCCGCGGUAAUACGGAGGAUCCGAGCGUUAUCCGGAUUUAUUGGGUUUAAAGGGUGCGUAGGUGGAUUGUUAAGUCAGUGGUGAAAGUUUGCGGCUCAACCGUAAAAUUGCAGUUGAAACUGGCAGUCUUGAGUACAGUAGAGGUGUGCGGAAUGCGUGGUGUAGCGGUGAAAUGCUUAGAUAUCACGAAGAACUCCGAUUGCGAAGGCAGUUCACUGGACUGCAACUGACACUGAGGCUCGAAAGUGUGGGUAUCAAACAGGAUUAGAUACCCUUGUAGUC